rnacentral:rRNA from 1 species
CGCUGUAAACGAUGUCGAUUUGGAGGUUGUGCCCUUGAGGCGUGGCUUCCGGAGCUAACGCGUUAAAUCGACCGCCUGGGGAGUACGGCCGCAAGGUUAAAACUCAAAUGAAUUGACGGGGGCCCGCACAAGCGGUGGAGCAUGUGGUUUAAUUCGAUGCAACGCGAAGAACCUUACCUACUCUUGACAUCCAGAGAACUUUCCAGAGAUGGAUUGGUGCCUUCGGGAACUCCGAGACAGGUGCUGCAUGGCUGUCGUCAGCUCGUGUUGUGAAAUGUUGGGUUAAGUCCCGCAACGAGCGCAACCCUUAUCCUUUGUUGCCAGCGGUUCGGCCGGGAACUCAAAGGAGACUGCCAGUGAUAAACUGGAGGAAGGUGGGGAUGACGUCAAGUCAUCAUGGCCCUUACGAGUAGGGCUACACACGUGCUACAAUGGCAUAUACAAAGAGAAGCGACCUCGCGAGAGCAAGCGGACCUCAUAAAGUAUGUCGUAGUCCGGAUUGGAGUCUGCAACUCGACUCCAUGAAGUCGGAAUCGCUAGUAAUCGUAGAUCAGAAUGCUACGGUGAAUACGUUCCCGGGCCUUGUACACACCGCCCGUCACACCAUGGGAGUGGGUUGCAAAAGAAGUAGGUAGCUUAACCUUCGGGAGGGCGCUUACCACUUUGUGAUUCAUGACUGGGGUGAAGUCGUAACAAGGUAACCGUAGGGGAACCUGC